AUACCAUGCCAAAUAGAAUGAGAAUUUGUGCCAUCUUGCCUAUGCCUUCCACUCCGACAGUUCCAUUCAUUGACUUCCAGGAGACGGGAGAGAACCUACCUACCUGAGCCGACUUUGAAAGGAGACUGAGUGGGGCUCUUUUGAACCUGAGGCCCAGAAAGUCUUUUAAACUUUUCUUAGAACUUGGUUUUGGAGUUUGUCGUGGGGCUGAGGCUGAGGUGGCCUCCUUGAACCGUAGGAUCCAGCUGGUUGAAGAAGAGCUGGACCGUGCUCAGGAACGCCUGGCCACUGCCCUGCAAAAGCUGGAAGAAGCGGAAAAAGCUGCUGAUGAGAGUGAGAGAGGUAUGAAGGUUAUUGAAAACCGGGCCUUAAAAGAUGAAGAAAAGAUGGAACUCCAGGAAAUCCAGCUCAAAGAAGCUAAGCACAUUGCAGAAGAGGCAGAUAGGAAGUAUGAAGAGGUGGCUCGUAAGUUGGUGAUCAUUGAAGGAGACUUGGAACGCACAGAGGAACGAGCUGAGCUGGCAGAGUCCCGUUGCCGAGAGAUGGAUGAGCAGAUUAGACUGAUGG
rnacentral:sRNA from 1 species